CGGGGCGUAGCGCAGCUGGCUAGCGCGCAACGUUCGGGACGUUGAAGUCGACGGUUCGAAUCCGUCCGCCCCGACCA
rnacentral:tRNA from 1 species